AAUGGCUGCAGUAAUUUGACUGUACAAAGGUAGCAUAAUCAUUAGUUUUUUAAUUAAAAGCUUGUAUGAAAGGCUGGACGAAGUAAAUUCUGUCUCUUUUUAAGAUAAUUAGAAUUUAAUUUUUAAGUUAAAAAGCUUAAAUUUUUAUAAAAGACGAGAAGACCCUAUAGAGUUUUAUAAUUUUAAAGAAAUAAUUAAUUUAGAUUUAUUAUUUUUAUUUUUUUAUAUUUAUUUUAUUGGGGUAAUAAAAAGAUUGAAUUAAUUCUUUUUUAAAAAAUACAUUAAUUUAUGAAAAAAAUGAUCCAUUAUUUAUGAUUAUAAGAUUAAAUUACCUUAGGGAUAACAGCGUAAUUUUUUUGAAGAGUUCAUAUCGAUAAAAAAGUUUGCGACCUCGAUGUUGGAUUAAAGAUUAGUUUAGGUGUAGAAGUUUAAAUUUUUGGUCUGUUCGACCAUUAAAUCUUUACAUGAUCUGAGUUCAAACCGGUGUAAGCCAGGUUGGUUUCUAUCUUUAUAGUAGUUUUAUGUUUUAGUACGAAAGGACCAAAUAUAUAAUAUAUUAAUAUUUAAAUUUUGAAUAU
rnacentral:rRNA from 1 species